GUAGGUGGCAAGCGUUGUCCGGAAUUAUUGGGCGUAAAGCGCGCGCAGGCGGUUCUUUAAGUCUGAUGUGAAAGCCCACGGCUCAACCGUGGAGGGUCAUUGGAAACUGGAGAACUUGAGUACAGAAGAGGAAAGCGGAAUUCCACGUGUAGCGGUGAAAUGCGUAGAGAUGUGGAGGAACACCAGUGGCGAAGGCGGCUUUCUGGUCUGUAACUGACGCUGAGGCGCGAAAACGUGGGGAGCAAACAGGGAUUAGAUACCCUGGUAGUCCACGCCGUAAACGAUGAGUGCUAAGUGUUAGGGGGUUUCCCGCCCCCUUAGUGCUGCAGCUAACGCAUUAAGCACUCCGCCUGGGGAGUACGGCCGCAAGGCUG
rnacentral:rRNA from 1 species